AGCGAACGCUGGCGGCAGGCCUAACACAUGCAAGUCGAACGAACUCUUCGGAGUUAGUGGCGGACGGGUGAGUAACACGUGGGAACGUGCCUUUAGGUUCGGAAUAACUCAGGGAAACUUGUGCUAAUACCGAAUGUGCCCUUCGGGGGAAAGAUUUAUCGCCUUUAGAGCGGCCCGCGUCUGCUUAGCUAGUUGGUGAGGUAAGGGCUCACCAAGGAGACGAUCAGUAGCUGGUCUGAGAGGAUGAUCAGCCACAUUGGGACUGAGACACGGCCCAAACUCCUACGGGAGGCAGUAGUGGGGAAUCUUGCGCAAUGGGCGAAAGCCUGACGCAGCCAUGCCGCGUGAAUGAUGAAGGUCUUAGGAUUGUAAAAUUCUUUCACCGGGGACGAUAAUGACGGUACCCGGAGAAGAAGCCCCGGCUAACUUCGUGCCAGCCGCCGCCGUAA
rnacentral:rRNA from 1 species